rnacentral:lncRNA from 1 species
ACCUUCGAGAAGUGUAUUAGCAAGGAUUGAAGGUCUGGAAAUGAAGUAAGAAUGACUCUUGUCAUCAACACAAACGAUAAUAAACACACGACCAUGAUCCUGCAAUUCAACAAUGUUGGCCCCAACUUUCAUGUAAUUAGUGGAAGAUGCAGCACAAACAUCAAUUUGAAGCUGAGUGGUGAAGUUGGAAAAGACUUCAACAAAGGUAUAUGAGAUAUAUCUAUGCAAGUUCAGUGG